rnacentral:rRNA from 1 species
AUAUAAAAUUUUAAAAAAAAAAAUAAAAUUAAAAAAUUAAAUUUAAUAUAAAAAAGUAAAAAAUUUAUUAAAUUUUAAAAUUUUAAUUUAAAAAGUUAAAUUUAAAGAUUUAAAAUGUUCAAAUUUUAAUUUUAUUUAAUUAUCAUUGGGAAACCAUAUUCACAUAAUUGUAAAGUUUUAAAAAUUAAGAACUUUUUCAAUUCAGGGAGAAGAAGAACUUAUAAACCCCCCAUGGCCAAUAUCAUUAUUAUAAAUUAAAAUAAAAAUUAAAAUUUAAAUUUAUAUUUUGAGGUUAAAAGUUUAAACUUUAAUAAAUUUAAUUUUUGCCAGUUAAGUCAUUAAUAAUGGGUGGGGGUAAAUUUUCCCCCCGUCCCAUUAAAACGAAAUUAAUUUCCCCAAUUGUUGAUAUUCAAUAAAACCCCACCAUUUUUUUAAAACUUUCCAAUUUCUAGGUAGAAUCUUAAACAAUACUCACUAUCUGCCAAGUCCAAUUAUUUUAGCCUCUGGCUAUAGGAAAUUGUUAGUGGCAGACGGGUGAGUAAUGCGUAGGAAUCUACCUAGUAGUACGGAAUAGCCAUUAGAAAUGGUGGGUAAUACUGUAUAAUCCCCGAGGGGGAAAGAUUUAUCGCUAUUAGAUGAGCCUACGUUAGAUUAGCUAGUUGGUGAGGUAAUGGCUUACCAAGGCUAUGAUCUAUAGCUGGUCUGAGAGGACGAUCAGCCACACUGGAACUGAGAUACGGUCCAGACUCCUACGGGAGGCAGCAGUGGGGAAUAUUGGACAAUGGGCGAAAGCCUGAUCCAGCUAUGCCGCGUGAGUGAAGAAGGCAUUCGGGUGAACCUUACGC